rnacentral:rRNA from 1 species
UACGUAGGGUGCAAGCGUUGUCCGGAAUUAUUGGGCGUAAAGAGCGUGUAGGCGGCCAGAUAAGUCCGCUGUGAAAUCUCGAGGCUCAACUUCGAGCUGUCGGUGGAAACUAUCUGGCUAGAGUCCGGAAGAGGAGAAUGGAAUUCCUGGUGUAGCGGUGAAAUGCGCAGAUAUCAGGAAGAACACCCGUGGCGAAGGCGGCUCUCUGGGACGGUACUGACGCUGAGACGCGAAAGCGUGGGGAGCGAACAGG